rnacentral:miRNA from 1 species
AUACAGUUUACAAUGCACGAU